rnacentral:lncRNA from 1 species
UAUUUAUGUUUCGGCGAGUAUUUUCCGAGCACUUGGGUUUGUUACUCUAUUCACGCCUUUGGUUUGGAGAAAAAUUGCCAAAUACUUCCAUUGACAGAUUCCAGUGAAGUGGCUAAAACAAAGAGUCAUGUUCCCGUAAUUAUGGGUUCUGGUGUCUACGGCUCCAAGAUCGUUUUGGCCGGCGGCAUUAGACCGGAAUUCGAUGGAUUAGCCAAUUUCAUACCACGUCCGUGUAGAGAAGUUUAUGCGUUUGACACUGCGAUUAUGAAUUCACAUCCACCAGAUAUGAUACAGUGCCGUGGUCCCCUUCAACACGGGAAGACUCAUCCCCUCGUGGUAGAGCACAAGGACAAGUUAUAUGUUCUCUCCCCGUUAACAGGUCAGGGGUUCGAGAUGUUCGACCCAAAAUAUGACACAUGGGUGACUUUGCCCGAGCCCCCAUUUUUCCACAGACGCUACCUUGGACACCACACCAAUUCUGUUGUUGUAGGCAGUAAUAUCUUUGUGUCAUGUGUGUCUAGUAUCUACCGCUUUGACAUGGCUGACACCAGCCAAAUAUGGAAGGAGCACUCUUUUACCAACUGCACUGCAUUGCCAUAUAGAUGGGAUGAGAAAAGUUUAGCGCUGGAAAUGAGUGACGGGGAUUGGUUGAUUUUCACAUGUUACCCAGAAUUGAGUUAUGACCGUCAUGAAAUCAAAGACAACCGUUGCUGCGACGAUUACGACUGCAACAACUCUAAUGUGUAUGAUUAUCCUCCUUAUCGUCAUCAGCUUGUGCCUGAUCGUCAUUUUGAAUGGCAUGGUACAUCUUUGCCUGCCUAUAUCAUGUCAAAGGACUUUACAUCACUCACACCUAUUCAACCUCUGCGCUUGCCUGAUGAUCUGUUACCUACUCAACCAGGCUGUGAAAGGUUGCGUGAUCUGUAUACGGCUAAACCCCGUGAAAUAGAUUAUAGGAUUGUCCAUCUAGGAGGUCAAGAGAUAUGUCUGGUAUUGUCUAUCGACACUGGAUUUGAGCCCAAUGGUGGAGUUUUGAGGAAGAUGCCAAUUUUUGUUGCAAGUUUCGAAUUUCAACUUUCAGACAGUAAAGACUUGUUAACCAUCAAAACAGGGUCUUGUAGUGUUCAAUGUUUUCUACUUGGUGCCUGCUCUUCAAGUGCAACUAAAUUAUCCAUGUGUGGUGCCUUUUGGCUGUAAGUUUUGCUAACUCACUAUUUGUUUCUUUCUGGUUUGGGUUUUCUAUUUUGGAAUUUGAUAUAUUUUUGCUAAACAAUGGAACAGGUAAACGUCAGCACUCUUCUCAAAUGGUGCAGUCUUAAAUGGCGUAUGAAAGUUUUGAUAAUGAAUCUGUUUGAGGAAUGUGAAACUUUAUUUGCUUUUUAUGGAGAAUGUAAUAUUCUAAGAAUACUCUGAUCUUUUACCUAGUUUUUUCAUUAAAUUGACUUUGGUAUAUCACUUUUCAUUCUUAUGACUGAGUGCUUGAAUGGUCACCUUGAUUAAACCUAUAUUAUAUAGAAACAAAUUGAUUGUAUGACAUACAAACAUGGCUUUAAUUACAUGAUUACAUAUAUAAAUGCAGUUACCCCUGGCAAUUGUAGCUUCUUGUUUUCGUGUUUGUUUAGCUGUGGAGUUUUAUUUUAGGCUUUGUUUAUACACAAAAUUGAAGCAAUUUUCUUUAAAACAGUAUAGCAUCUCCAGAGCUGGAAGGUCAGAUUGAUCAUCUUUCGGGGGAUGCAGGCUUUGAACUCUUGGAAGAGUUAAAUACUCAUCAAGUGCAAAAUAUGUUAUGAUGCUGAGAAAGUGGCAAUAAAAUUACUUGCAACCAGGUUAGAACUUCCAUAACUUCAGAGAACUGCUUGGCGUAGUGCUUCUAGAAUGUCUAAGGGCAGGGAUUCUUCUGAGGUACAUGAUUUUGCCAAGAUACCUUUGGAUAGCAGUUUGAGGGAUUGGGCAUCUGUAUUCCUGGAGUUAAGAUGCUAUAGAAGUUUCAAAAUAAGGAUGUUUGCCUGUGAAUGAAGAAGAAAAAAAAAUUGUUUAAGAAGCUAUUUCUCUUUGUAGGGCCUUCACAGCAGUUGAACUGAGAAAGAAAUUACAUGGAAAUAACUUUACUCUAGAUACCGUUGAGGCAGUGAUAAAUGACUUCAUUAGCAGGUACAUCUAGUCCUGAGAAUGUCCUGUGUUGAGAGUGCUCAUCAGCCAAUUAUCUGGAAAUAAACAUGUUUGAAAACUCCACAUGCUUGAGUAAUUAUUCCACAAUAAGCUUAGAAACUGGUUCUACAUGCAAUGCAAGUUGUAAGACUGAUUCAGUUACUACUGUAUAAAAAAAAAAUGGAUUACAGAGA